GAUGGAAGAAUGUAGGCAAAGGAAAUCAGCAAAAUGGAUCCGUUACUUCAAGAAAAGGAUUGGCUCUGAGGGCUGGGCACGGGGUCUAGUCACGAACCCAUCGGUUGUCGGUGGACUGCUUGAGCUGCUCCUGUAGUGAGGUGAGUCACCUCGUGCUAACCGGGGAUGGACUGGGAACGGUUCCUUUGGGGGCCUUCCCCGGGCGUCGAACAGCCAACUCAGAACUGGUACGGACAAGGGGAAUCCAACUGUUCAAUUAAAACAAUGCAUUGCGAUGGUCCCUGCGGAUGUUUACGCAAUGUGAUUUCUACCCAGUGCUCUAAAUGUCAAGGUAAAGAAAUUCAACCAAGCGCGAGUAAAUGGUAAGAGUAACUAUGACUCUCUUAAGGUAGCCAAAUGCCUCGUCAUCUAAUUAGUGAUGCGCAUGAAUGGAUUAACGAGAUUCCCACUGUCCCUAUCUACUAUCCAGCGAAACCACAGCCAAUGGAAAGGGCUUGGUAGAAUCAGCGAGGAAAGAAGACCCUGUUGAGCUUGACUCUAGCCCGACUGUGUGAAAUGACUUGAGAGGUGUAGUAUAAGUGGGAGCCGAAAGGAGAAAGUGAAAUACCACUACUUUUAACGUUAUUUUACCUAUUCUGUGACUCGGAAGCGGGGCACUGCCCCUCUUUUUGGAUGCAAGGCUUGCUUGCAGGCCGAUCCGGGCGGAAAACAUUGUUAGGUGGGGAGUUUGGUUGGGGUGGCACAUCUGUUAAAAGAUAACGCAGGUGUCCUAAGAUGAGCUCAACGAGAACAAAAAUCUCGUGUGGAACAGAAGGGUAAAAGCUCGUUUGAUUCUAAUUUCCAGUGCGAAUAUGAACCGUGAAAGUGUGGCCUAACGAUCCUUUAGACCUUCAGAAUUCGCAGCUAGAGGUGUUAGAAAAGUUACCACAUGGAUAAUUAGCUUGUGGCAGCCAAGCGUUCAUAGCGACGUUGCUUUUUGAUCCUUCGAUGUUGGCUCUUCCUAUCAUUAUGAAGUAGAAUUCACCAAGUGUUGGAUUGUUCACCCGCAAAUAAGGAACGUGAGCUGGGUUUAGACUGUCGUGAGACAGGUUAAUUUUACCCUACUGAUGACAGUGUCACAAUAGUAAUUCAACCUAGUACGAGAGGAACCGUUGACUUGCGCAAUUGGUCAUUACUCUUGGUUGAAAAGCUAGUGGUGCGAAGCUACCAUGCGCUGGAUUAUGACUGAACGUUUCUAAGUUAGAAUCCGGGCUAGAAGCACUGCAUGUGCCGUCCGCUUGCCGACCCGUAGUAGGGGCCUUUUGCCCCCAAGGGCAUGUCUCAUUGGCUUAGUUAUCGCGAUGGAAGAGCCACGGUGGCCGCCUCUAAGUACAAUUUCCAUCGAGCGGCUGGUAGAAUCCUUCAAAUGACUUAAAUACGCAACGGGGUAUUGUAACUGGCAGAGUGGCCUUGCUGCCACGAUCCACUGAGAUUCAGCCGUUUGUCGCUCCGAUUC
rnacentral:ncRNA from 1 species